rnacentral:lncRNA from 1 species
AUGCGUGGAGCGGGACUGCCGCUAGACACACCAGAGGCCUCCGCACCGAGCCCCCAGCCCCGGGGCUCGGCCCCGCGCCCGCAGGACGCUGCUGCCCGCCACGGAGCUCCCCCGCGCGCCCCGCUCACCCCUCCGGAGCCCGCUCGGCUGCAGGAGGGGGCUCAUCCCGCACAGACUCAGCCCCGCACCCACGGGAUGCCGCUGCUCGCCGCGGAGCUCCCCCGCGCGCCCCGCUCACCCCUCCGGAGCCCGCUYGGCUGCGGGAGGGGGCUCAUCCCGCACGGACUCGGCCCCAAACCCUGCCAGCGCCCCGCUCUCCGCAGCGGCCACCACCUGGCCCCGAACAGCAUCCAUGUGCCCGCCACCCCCGCGGGCCAGGCCCCCACGCCACACCACGCCGCCUCCCGAUGCCCUCCGGCCCCGCGGAGGCUUCGUCCCCCUGACGGCUCCCUCCCCCCAGCGGCACCCCCGUCGGCACGCCCCGCAGGACUCACCUCCGCCGGGGCCUGGCUGCGCGGCACCGGGCGUCCCGCAGCCCUCGCUUCUCCUGCCCGGCCUCGGCCUGCGGGGCCUCCCUCGCCCCUGCCGGCGUCUUCACCAAACGCUUCACCCCGAAGCGCGCCUCAUAGCAGCCCUUUCCUCGCCCCGGGAGCUGCACGGGCAGCGGCCCUCUGGCCCCCCCAAAACAGGCCCCCGCCCCGGCCAGCUGCAGCCCCUGCGGCUGAUUGCAGGGCCCGAAAGGAGAAGCACCUGCGGGCCAGCAGGGCCAGCCCGUCGGACCUGCUGGGGAGAACACACAUGACAAUAAUAAUGAAAAUAGAGACCAGCGGGGCACUUAGACCGACACAGAAGCAGGGGGACAGCUGUCUUUGCCCAGUCUUUUGCUUUUGGCAGGGGAAAAGCUUCCACCGUAUCUCCUCAGCCGUUCGUGGUGCCUCUUGCCCACGYGCUCCGUCAGCUCCCUGCCCAGCACCUCCGGGCACCGCGGUCACGGAGGGUCAGCGGUUACGUCUCUGGCACGGUAUCAGCUACGUGACUGUCUAUUUAAGGCAAAAGAAAAUUGAGGGAGCUCAGAGAUGUGUGCGAUCUGGGGCAAAACAACACAGUAAAUAUCCCCUGGGCAGCAGCCACACCAUUAAACAUUUAUGCUGUGGAUUUUCACCUCUCCUCAGCAUGAAAGAGGUUACUGCGGUCAGAUUACUGCCCAGGUGCUAA